rnacentral:rRNA from 1 species
GACGAACGCUGGCGGCGUGGAUUAGGCAUGCAAGUCGAACGGUAUCAUCCUUUCGGGGGUGAGAGAGUGGCGAACUGGUGAGUAACACGUAGGUUAUCUACCCUCAAGACGGGGACAACCCAGGGAAACUUGGGCUAAUACCGGAUGUGAGCAACUUUUAGUUGUUUGAAAGGUGGCGUAAGCUGUCGCUUGGGGAUGAGCCUGCGUCCUAUUAGUUAGUUGGUGAGGUAACGGCUCACCUAGGCAAUGAUAGGUAGGCGGCCUUAACGGGUGGUCGCCCACACUGGGAUUGAGAUACGGCCCAGACUCCUACGGGAGGCAGCAGUCGAGAAUAGUCUACAAUGGUCGGAAGACUGAUAGUGCGACGCCGCGUGAACGAUGAAUCCCUUCGGGUGUAAAGUUCUUUUAUAUGUGAGCAGUGCUUCUUAUAUUAACAGUAUGGGGAGAGAGAUAUUAGCAUAUGAAUAAGCAACGGCUAACUCCGUGCCAGCAGCCGCGGUAAACUCG